AUUUUUUAAUUGUGCUCCUGGACCUUUCUUUUUCUCUAAAAGUCUAUAUUAUCUUAACAAAAGGUCAUUUAGGCAUAUAUUUAUGGUGGCUAUUUUCCCAAAUCUAUAAAAGGAUAUUCAUCCCCACUCCAACUUCCUCCCAUCACCCAACCCUUCCAUGGAAAGCAUUUGGCAGCUGUUUGGAUGUGGAUUUGGAUUCAACAUUUUGAGCUCUUGCUCUGGGCUGAGCACCACGUAAAGCAAUUUUAUGAUCUUCUCCCUUGUCCCCCUAUUCUGUUUGUUCCCUAACUCCUGGUACAAUAACAUGGAAUAUCAGAAAGAGAGACCUUUAGCCCUCAUGCAGGAACUUCAAAGAAUCCAGUAAUAAACUGAUCUGAGCUUACAUUGUGCAUUUGGGGCAGCUGAGGGCUUGAUCCCUCCUGCCCAUGCAGGAAAAUAGUCACUGUCCUCUGCAGUACAGGUCAGUUCUCAGCGUUGCCAUGUGUUUAGCCACUUCAUCUCUCAGAUCAUUCAACCACGACCACCCUAGUUUGGCCAUAUCAUUUAAGAAUCCCAUACAAUUGCAGUGUUCUACAUCCUACAACUGAAACAUAAAGCUGUUUUUGGCACUUUGUUCAUGUUUAAUUUGAAGCUUACUGGAUUUUACUUGGGCUUCAUCUAUGAACGUAUCCCCAGAGGAGAUUUAACUAAUUUUUUUUUAAUGUAGUGGCAAACCCCUGGUAAGGCAGGAGCCUGUCUAUUAUUCACGAUAGCCCUCCAACCACAGGUUAGCAUGACUCAUCUGAGUCUCAGCUAUUUUCAUGAGGAUUUUUGUCAGCUCUUAUUUUCAUGAGCUCCCAAGGACAGAUUGGAGGCAAAAGUGGGAACAUCUAUCUGCUCAGCACUCAAAGAAAACCCCACUGGGGAAAACAGGCAGAACUGUGUGCUUCUUUUCACCUUCCAAAAACUUAUAAUACACAGUGAUCAAAUAUAUUUAAUUUAGACAAAACAUUUACAUACUUUAUACAUGAUAUAUAUGGUGAACAAUUAAUUCCCAGUAUCCCGUUUCCCUUUUUUAUAACCCUGAUUUUUUGCUAAACACUUUGCCGACAUCUUCCCUUGUAAUUAAGAGUGGUCAUAUGGUGCUAUUUGUCAGCGUCCCUUGCAACUAGGCAUGGCCAAUGAAAUGUAAGCAAAGUGUCAGGGGAGACUUUUGGGGGAAGAUCCUAUAUGUGAAGGUGUGAGUUCCUGGAACAUAGACAUGAUGACUCAAGCUCUAGCAGUCAUUUUAGACCUUUAGCUCAUCUUAAGGAUGCAAGUCAGCUCUAAGAGUGGGACAAGAAAUUAGGAGUUUAGGUCCCUGAAGACAUCAUGGGACUGCCAUACCAGCUCUGAAGUGUCCAGCUCUGGACUUUUUAAAUCUAAAAAUGAAUGAAUAAAUAAACUUCAA
rnacentral:lncRNA from 1 species